rnacentral:rRNA from 1 species
GGGUGCGAUCAUACCAGCAUUAAUGCACCAGAUCCCAUCAGAACUCCGCAGUUAAGCGCGCUUGGGAUAGAGCAGUACUCGGAUGGGUGACCUCCCGGGAAGUCCUAGCUUUGCACCCU